rnacentral:rRNA from 1 species
CCAUAGCGUUAAGCUAGUAAGACCCCAGGGAGACUACCUGGUUGAUAGGCCUAAGGUGUAAGCAUGGUAACAUGUUUAGCUGAUAGGUACUAAUAGGUCGAGGGCUUGACCUAAUAUAACA